CGAAACUAUAACACCUACAAACUUGAAAUUUGGCAGGUAGGGUCCUUAUAGGACGUAGACAUCCGCUAAGAACGGAUUUUACGAAACUCGACCUCUAAGGGGGUAAAACGGGGGUUGGAAGUUUGUAUGAAAGUCCUAUGUUUUUGAAGUAAGAGACUUGAAAUUUAAAAUGUAUACUCUAUAGAUGAUGAAAAGGUGUCCAAAUAAUGUAUCUUUAGAAAUCAACCCCUUUUU
rnacentral:misc_RNA from 1 species